rnacentral:rRNA from 1 species
AGCGAACGCUGGCGGCAGGCCUAACACAUGCAAGUCGAACGAAGUCUUCGGACUUAGUGGCGGACGGGUGAGUAACACGUGGGAACGUGCCUUUAGGUUCGGAAUAACUCAGGGAAACUUGUGCUAAUACCGAAUGUGCCCUUCGGGGGAAAGAUUUAUCGCCUUUAGAGCGGCCCGCGUAUGAUUAGCGAGUUGGUGAGGUAAAGGCUCACCAAGGCGACGAUCAGUAGCUGGUCUGAGAGGAUGAUCAGCCACAUUGGGACUGAGACACGGCCCAAACUCCUACGGGAGGCAGCAGUGGGGAAUCUUGCGCAAUGGGCGAAAGCCUGACGCAGCCAUGCCGCGUGAAUGAUGAAGGUCUUAGGAUUGUAAAAUUCUUUCACCGGGGACGAUAAUGACGGUACCCGGAGAAGAAGCCCCGGCUAACUUCGUGCCAGCCGCCGCGGUAAUAC